UACGUAGGGGGCGAGCGUUGUCCGGAAUCAUUGGGCGUAAAGAGCUCGUAGGUGGCGUGUCGCGUCUGCCGUGAAAGCCCAUGGCUUAACUGUGGGUCUGCGGUGGAUACGGGCAGGCUGGAGGCUGGUAGGGGCAAGCGGAAUUCCUGGUGUAGCGGUGAAAUGCGCAGAUAUCAGGAGGAACACCGGUGGCGAAGGCGGCUUGCUGGGCCAGUUCUGACGCUGAGGAGCGAAAGCGUGGGGAGCGAACAGG
rnacentral:rRNA from 1 species